AAAAGCUUGGUCCUGACUUUACCAUCGACUAUAAUCAAAUUUAUACAUGCAAGUAUCCGCACCCCUGUGAGAAUGCCCUGCAUUUUUCCCUAACAAAAAGAAGGAGCUGGAGUUAGGCACGCCACAAGGCAGCCCACGAUUCCUUGCUUAGCCACACCCCCAAGGGAGCUCAGCAGUAAUAAACAUUAAGCCAUGAGUGAAAGCUUGACUUAGUUAAGAUUAAGAGGGCCGGUAAAACUCGUGCCAGCCACCGCGGUUAUACGAGAGGCCCAAGUUGAUAGAUGCCGGCGUAAAAUGUGGUUAAUUUAUAGUAUUGCACUAAAGCAAAACACCUUCUAAGCUGUUAUAUGCUCUCGAAGAUAGGAGGCCCUUUUACGAAAGUAGCUUUAAAUGAUAUGACCCCACGAAAGCUAGGGAACAAACUGGGAUUAGAUACCCCACUAUGCCUAGCCUUAAACUAAAAUGACUAACCUACAACACCUCGCUUGCCAGGGAACUACGAGCCCCAGCUUAAAACCCAAAGGACUUGGCGGUGCUUUAGACCCCCUAGAGGAGCCUGUUCUAGAACCGAUAACCCCCGUUCAACCUCACCCCCUCUUGUUCUCCCCGCCUAUAUACCGCCGUCGUCAGCUUACCCUGUGAAGGACUAAUAGUGAGCAUAAUUGGCACAGCCCAAAACGUCAGGUCGAGGUGUAGCGUAUGAGGGGGGAAGAAAUGGGCUACAUUCACUGACCCAGUGAAAACGGACGAUGCCUUGAAACACUUAUCUGAAGGAGGAUUUAGCAGUAAGAGGGCACUAGAGCACCCCUCUGAAACCGGCCCUGAAGCGCGCACACACCGCCCGUCACUCUCCCCAAGUGCAAAACUACUAGUAAAUAAACAAAUAAACAAACAAAGGGGAGGCAAGUCGUAACAUGGUAAGUGUACCGGAAGGUGCACUUGGACAAAC